AAGUAUUUUUGGGUUCUUUUUGAGCCUAACUAUCUGACAUUGUGGUAUUAAUGAAAAAAAUGAUUGGGUUUAAAGAUGAUGCCUCUGAGUCUUUAGGAGGUAUCGACCCAAACUUUUUAUCAACUCUUUUUUACUAUUUGACUGAAUAUCAAGUAAAUUAAUCCAAUCUUUGGGUUAAAAAAAAGUUUUAAA
rnacentral:misc_RNA from 2 species